AUGCCUCCCUGCAGCCUGCUCUGUGUGUUGAUGGCCUUGGCCUUCUCUGGAUCCAGUUUGGGUCAGAAAGUGACUCAGGUUCAGUCAAUGGCAAGCGCACAGGAGGGGGAAGAAGUCAACCUGGAGUGUUCAUACGAGACAACUCAGAACUUUUAUCACCUGUUUUGGUACAAGCAGCUUCUUAGUGGGGAGAUGAUUUUCCUUAUUCGCCAAAUUUCUUCUUCCACUCAGACUGAGAGUAAUGACCGCUACUCUGUCAUCUUCCAGAAAUCAGCCAAGUCCUUCAGCCUUGUCAUUUCAGCUUCAUGGAUACAAGAUUCGGUGACAUAUUUCUGUGCCCUCUGGGAAGGGACUCACAGUGCAUGA